UGACACGCCGAGUGCCUAAGCAUGUUUACAAACGUUCGUUCCGUCUUCUUGUCUGUUUAUUUACUGGUGAUGAUGGGCUGCGUCUGGAUGGCAGCAGCAGAGCCGAUUUCGUGCUCUUGUAACGCUCCAGUAGGGGCAGCAUGCCGGCGACGAUGCCGACCGCGUGGUUGAAGAAAUCACCGGACACUACAUUGGACACUCUAAAGUGCCACGUAUAUUUUAUGUGAUUGCCAUAAGAAAAUAAAGAGUUUCUGUUCUUUACCAAUAA